UAAUAAGAAGCAAAUCUCUUGCAUUUAGUUUCGACCUAAAAAUUAGAUUAACCAAAUAAUCCUUAUUUU
rnacentral:tRNA from 1 species